rnacentral:rRNA from 1 species
UGGGGUGCACCAGGCGCGAAACCUCUGCCAUAGGCGAAAGCUUGACAGGGUUACUAUGAGUGAUUUCCGUUAAGGAGAUCUUUUGGCACCUUUAAAAAUGGCGCCGCAUUAGGGGUGGGCAAGUCUGGUGUCAGCCGCCGCGGUAAUUCCAGCACCCUGAGUGGUCGGGACGUUUAUUGGGCCUAAAGCAUCCGUAGCCGGUUCUACAAGUCUUCCGUUAAAUCCACGUGUCUAAGAGAUGGGCUCCGGCAGAUAAAAUACACCUAGGAUGCGGGAGAGGCAAGCGGUACUGGAUGCGUAGGGGUAAAAUCCGUUGAUCCACUGCAGACCACCAGUGGCGAAGGCGUCUAGCCAGAACGCGCUUGACGGUGAGGGUUGAAAGUUGCGGGAGCAAACCGGAUGAGAUACCCGGGUAGUCCCACCUGUUAACGAUCCACACUCGUUUACGAGUUGGCUUUAUGCCAACUCAGUGCCGCAGGGAAGCCGUUAAGUUCACAGCCUGGGGAGUACGGUCGCAAGACUGAAACUUAAAGGAAUCGGCGGGCGACCAC